rnacentral:lncRNA from 1 species
AUGGCAGCUCCUCUCUCCACUCUCACCAGCCAGAAACCCCCCAACCUGACUUGGAAUGACCCUGCCACUGCUGCUGUUGAUGCACUCAACCAACGGUUCCUGUCUGCCCCAAUCCUGUGUCAGCCCGACCCUCCCCGACCGUUCAUAGUGGAAGUUGACACUUCAGAGGUGGGAGGAGCUUUUUACUCACAACGGCUUGGAACCCCACCCACACCCCACCCCUGUGCCAUUUACGCCACUACGCCUGGUUUCCUGGGUCGUUUUAGAUACAUGAUGACAUCAUUGUUACUGAACCAGUUUCACACCACAGGACAUGUGGACUGAGGUCACUUCACACUCUAUAAACAUCAUCAACAACCUCUCUCAGACACGCAGGACAAGAGAGGACCAGGCAGAGACAAUAAGAUCUACAAGAGAUUGUGGCAGAGAGAAGUGAGUUUGAUAACAGAAAUGUAUAGAAAUACUUAAAGUCCAGCAAGAUGAGAUGGUAGUCUAGUACUAGUAUAGUAGUAGUAUAGUAAUAGUAUAGUAACAGUAUAGUAGUAGUAUAGUAAUAGUAUAGUAACAGUAUAGACAGUGUGAAUGUUGAAUAACUGUUGUAGAAUGAAUAUCCUCCAUGUUGUCUCUUGCUGUCUCCUCUCAGGUGAGUCUGUCUGUCUGGGUUUAGAUGUUAUUUAGUCUAGAUGUUGUUUUUCAAUGUACUGUACAUUAUAUCCAUCCACAUUCAAAUAAUUGAUGUGAUGCACUAUUGAAUGGUUGUGAACAGGGAUAAAGUAAAAUGAGCAGGUGGAAACAUUAUCUCAGGUUAAUGUAUCUGUUGUGAUUAUAUCAUAUCUUCUUGUUUCAUAGCUCUGUCUGCCGUGGCUGUUAAUUACUUUAAGAAGGUUGUAGGAGGACGCGUCGCUUUCCCCUGUUCAUUCUCAUGGGCUUCAUCCAACAACAAGUACUUCUGUAAGAAGCCGUGUUCUGGUGAAGAUAUUCUGGUUGAAACUAAAGGGAGCAGGAAUGUAAAUCCAGGUAGAUACAGUAUAGAAGACUAUGGAAAUGGAGUCGUCACGGUGACCAUCAAGGACCUGAAGAAGUCAGACUCUGGGACAUACUGGUGUGGAGUGGACAGAGUUGGUGUGGACACAUACGACACGUUGCGUCUGACAGUAACAGAUGGUAAGUUUAUUGUUAAUAUAAAUUGUUAUAUUAUAUAACAGGGGAUAUGUUUACUGUUAAUAUACGUUUGUAUUAUUAUAAAUUAUUUCCUAUGACAUGAAAACAGAUGUUACAAUAUUUGUU